GGGGGUGUGGCGGAAUUGGCAGACGCGCUAGAUUUAGGAUCUAGUUCCUUUACCGGAGUGCAGGUUCGAUUCCUGUCACCCCCACCA
rnacentral:tRNA from 1 species